AGGCUACUGCUAUCGGGGUCCGACUAAGCCAUGCGAGUUGAGAGGGGUAAGCCCUCAGCAUAUUGCUCAGUAACACGCGGAUAACCUGCCCUUGGGUUUGGGAUAACCCCGGGAAACUGGGACUAAUACCGGAUAAAUCAAAGAAACUGGAAUGUUCUUUGGUUGAAAGCUCCGGCGCCCAAGGAUGGGUCUGCGGCCUAUCAGGUAGUAGUGGGUGUAACGUACCUACUAGCCUACGACGGGUAAGGGUUGUGAGAGCAAGAGCCCUGAGAUGGAUUCUGAGACAUGAAUCCAGGCCCUACGGGGUGCAGCAGGCGCGAAAACUUUACACUGCGGGAAACCGCGAUAAGGGGACCCCGAGUGCCAGCACCUAGUGCUGGCUGUCCAGCUGUUCAAAAAACAGUUGUUAGCAAGGGCCGGGCAAGACCGGUGCCAGCCGCCGCGGUAACACCGGCGGCCCGAGUGGAAGCCGUUAUUAUUGGGUUUAAAGGGUCCGUAGCCGGCUUAUUAAGUCUCUUGGGAAAUCUGGCGACUCAAUCGUCAGGCGUUCAAGAGAUACUGGUAGGCUUGGGACCGGGAGAGGUGGGAGGUACUCCAGGGGUAGGGGUGAAAUCUCGUAUCCUUGGGGGACCACCGAUGGCGAAGGCAUCCCACCAGAACGGGUCCGACGGUGAGGGACGAAAGCUGGGGGCACGAACCGGAUUAGAUACCCGGGUAGUCCCAGCUGUAAACGAUGCUCGCUAGGUGUCAGGUGCGGUGCGACCGCAUCUGGUGCCGCAGUGAAAACUUGAAGCGAGUCACCUGGGAAGUACGGUCGCAAGGCUGAAACUUAAAGGAAUUGGCGGGGGAGCACUACAACGGGUGGAGCCUGCGGUUCAAUUGGAG
rnacentral:rRNA from 1 species